GACCGUGAGAAGGGUCCUGAAUCUGGAACCGGUUCCGGGAUAAGUAGCGGGUCAGUGAGCCAGCCUGAGCCCAGGCGGCCGCUGAGCGCAAACCAGACACAGGGCUAGGUAGCGCUGAGCCCCGACGUCCGACGCUAUCUACACUUGCCGCAGCGGGCCAUUUGGUGUAGCUGUGUGAGCCUCAAGGAAGGCGGGCUCAGAAAGAAGAAACCUGGGACCGAAGAAAGGGGGGAGGGAUACUGGGGAGUACCUGAAGGCAAGUCACUUGCAUUUUUUUUCCCCACGUCCAGCGGCGUGCGACCAGUCUCCCAGCCGGGGUCACUUCAGGAUAGUAACUCGUAACAAUGUUAUGUUCUGACCUUUUUUAGAUCUGAAGAUUUGUGGGACUAUGGUUGGCUCCGCCCUCGCCGGGUUCCGCCCAUUGCUGGUGCUCUAACAUCCUCUCCUACCCAAGCCCCUCCGAGGAUACCCAAGGUCUACGUAUGGCCAUGAAAUUUGUUAGUUGAAGAAACAGAAGCGCAGAGCAACAGCAGUGGUCUUCAGGUAAGGGGUUUCUUGGGGUGAGCAGAUAAUGGUAGAUACAGACAGAGGGGACUGUUACUAAGACACAGCCGUGGAUCUCCAUCCUGGGGGAAACUAAUAAAAUGAUGUGGGGACCCCGGCCAAGGUAAGGGAUCCAUGUCUAGAAAAAGUCAAGCCCAUACAUCAGAUUCCCAGAAGGAUGGAUUCUCAGCGUUUGCUAGACGGGGUUCAAGUUCCUUGAGUACUCAGACCCUUGUUAAGUCCAAACCCAACACUCUUCUCACAUGAGAGGAUCUGGCAGAGGAGGGCAUUCAGAUAUUAGGAAUCCAGGGCAAACCCAGGCAGGCAUGAAUAUCCCCCCAACCCCCCACAUCCCUUCACCGUUUUUUACCAAGGGACAUUCGAUGUGGAGGAGGGAAUGCAGUCAACCCACCCUCACCACAUGCUCAGGCUGGCACUGCAGCACCAGGCAGCCCUCCUGAACUCGGUAGGCAUCCUGGCAGCCCUAUGAAUGCCUCCCCUCCGGGACCAGCCAGGCAUUGCUCCAGGGGCUGAGAGCAUGGAGACCAGCCCUCUGCCUCCUCCGGGUCUUUUUCGUGUUCUGGGUAGAUCCUGUACCUAUACCUCCCACCAGGCCCUUCGCAGUGGGUAAAGGUAAAAUGUGCUGCUCUCAGAGCCCACGCAGAUCGGCAGUGAAGCAAUCAUCUCGGUGAGUCAUGCUGGCACUGUGAGCGCCUGGUCCCUGUUGAGUUGUCGCUAAUGAAUUAGAUUCACCCACAGCAUGGCCCCCCAACCUUUCCCCACUCCCGGGGAAGCAGGAAACUGAGACCUGCAAAGAGCCAGGACUCUGACAACUCCAGGUUCCGGCCCAGACCAAGCCAUGCCCUCUGCCCCCCCCCCCCACACACACAGACUGCAAAAAUACCCAAAAGACAGGUCUCCAGGCCUUCGGAAUGGUCUCUCUAUUGCCAACCACAAGCUAUAACAAUAUUACCCACUCUCAAAUCUAUAUGAGGGUUUUUUUAAAUACCAAAAACCAACCCAGUGCUUUCUGUGAUAAAUGCCCCUGUACCCAGUCUCCAGCAUCCAUGAUUGUUCACACUUCCUUAUGCUUGUUCUAAGUCUGUUUUCUUUUAAAUAAAAAAAUGGAAGAAUGACAGACAGACAGAAUGAGGCUUUUGUAUCCUCUCCUGUGUCCCAGAAGCACCUCUCCCCCUGCUGACCCUGCCCAGGCUCCUGAGUUCUCCCUGCCCUGAGCCAGGACCACGGGCUGCUUGCUGAGACUUAAAUAGUCCCAGAAUGUCACCUUAUUGGAGAUUCUUAGAAAGCAAAGACUCCAGUUUAUUAGAACCAGUAAGGAAAUGUCAGGGCAAGAAGGGGGCUCAUCACCUCUGGGAGGGCAUGAUCUUUAUGUCUGCGAGACUCCGGAGACCCUGGCUUCAGAAAGGACUCGCCCACUGGUCCGUUCAUGGUCUCCUGGAGAUCUAGUCUCAUUAUCUCACGUGGGGAAAUGACAGGGUUGUCCCCUUACCUGCAGCAGCCAGAACUUAACUCCCUGUGGUCUUUAAGGUAUUCAUUCAAAAAACAUCAAAUACCUACAGCUAGGCCUGGGCACUGGGGGUUGCUAUGACUAUGUGCACCAAGGCAGAACUCUGCACCUCUGUGGGUUAUUCUGCCAGUGGAGACAGCCAACUAAAAAGGAGCCUAGUGAUGGUCAGGUUGCAAUGAAGGAGUAAGGGGGGGGGGGAAGAUGCCUCGUGAAAGAGGCACAUUGAGCCAGGACAAGAGGAGAUGAGAGUGAGGCCAGAAGAUGUGCACAGGGAUACAUCCCUGAAGGUGGCUGCUUCUGGGUCUGGGCUUUGCACAUCAACCCAGGAGCUUUCUGGGACUGUGGAGCUCCCAGUGUUGUGACUUCAGGUGAGGCAGGGAAGGAAGGUGAGGAGGAGGCACCUGGCUUUAGUGUUGACUUUGGAUCUGAGGUCACUGACAGACUUGGAGCAGAGAUCAUGCAUUUGAACAACAGCUGCAGGAAGAAGCCUGCAUGGUAUACCCCCCUCUCAUCUUGGUUCUCUCCCACACGCUAAUGAGCGUUGUCAUUUACUGAGCACCUACGGGCUGUCUAAUUUACCCUUCACUGCCGAUCCACCAGGCAGGUACUGUAUCCCUCCCACUCUACAGAUGAGGAAACAGAUUCAGAGAGGGUAAGCAGCUUGAGCAAGGUCACACAGCUGGGAAGAGUCAGAGCUGAGAUGCAGAUCCAUCUUAAGAAGACAAAACUUUUCAUACCUUGGAUCAGUGACUCACUUGGCUGAGAGAAACCAAAGAAACUACUCAGUGUGCCCAAAUGCUUGCCCUCAGCCUGAAACAAGAUUUCCAGGAGUGCCCGACUUGAAGAUGUUACUAUCGCUGCAGAGUACAAGAGUGGUGGAGAAACAGAGACGCCCCCACUCCCUCUCACAGCAUGAGAGCUCAGCAUAUUGGCCUGAGGGACAAAGUGAUCCUACAACUGAGAGGACAGGCCUCAGAACCCCAAAACAGCUUCAAAGAACAAAGAGGUCUGCAAGUCCAGGACCCAGGUUCAGGAUUUCCUAGUACCAAAUUACUGGCACUCUCUAGCCUACUUGUUAUCCCAGGGCCCUGAGGUGCACACAGAAUGGAAACCCGCUCGCAGGGCUGAGUCAGUCUCUGCCACCCACCUCCUCCAGCUGGAUGAAACGUGAGUCCAGGUGUGGCCAUCGGAUCACGUUCCAGGGAACCCUAGUGCACAGCUACUCGCCCACCGGUGUUGAAAGACGAGUUUUCUCCUUCCAGUUCCACUUUCCACCCGGCCCCACCCCCUCGGACAACCGAGCUCAGCCGCACCAACAGAGGUCAAAGAGUCUGAUGAAGGGAGUGGCUGGCUUGUUACUCUAGGCUAUCACUGUGUUGCAAAAUGAGUUCCUGAUGAGGUGAGCCUGUCAUGGCUUGCUGGACUGGAGACUGUUAAGAAUGUGAACUCCAGUAGUGUAGGGAGCCUCUGUUUCAUGACGUCUUAGGGUCACCUGUCCACUUCAGCUCCUCAUCCUCUCUGAACCUCAAUUCUUUUUUUUUUUUCCUUUUUCUUCGGAGCUGGGGACCAAACCCAGGGCCUUGUGCUUCCUAGGCUAGCGCUCUACCACUGAGCUAAAUCCCCAACCCUAGAACCUCAAUUCUUACACCUGGAGAAUGAGCCUGAACGAAGUCGGAGGGCUGGUGGGGGGGGCACUUGUCUGGCCUCAAAACCGAAAGGACAUUAGUUGGUAAUAUACUUGUGUCAAAGGCAUGGGGAUCUGAAUCUAAUCCCCAGACUCAUGUAAGAAGCUGUGUGUGGUGGAAUACGCUUGAAACCUCAGCACUGGGGAGGCAGAGGCAGGUGGAUCCCAGGGACUAAUGCACCAUCCAGGCCAAAGGCAAGUUCCAAGCAAGUAAGAGACCCUGUCCAAAAAAAGGAAAGAAAAGAGCCAGAUAGCCUCUGAGGAGCAAUAUUCAAGUUGUCCUUUGACCUCCAAACCCCCCCCCCACACACACACAAACCCAAUAUAAACAGUGAGGAUCAGGGCUAAAAAAUAUACUGUCUGUAAAUAGUAAAUAACAUUUUCCUGCAAUGUGUGUGUUAGGUGCACACGUAUAUGCACAGAGGCUCUGGAAUUUCAGGUGUGUAGGUCCAUACUCAGUUUUCUGGAGCGCUCUCUCUCUCUCUCUCUCUCUCUCUCUCUCUCUCUCUCUCUGUGUGUGUGUGUGUGUGUGUGUGUGUCUGUGUGUCUGUGUGUCUGUGUGUGUUUAUGUGUAAAAAGGCACACGUGUGGGUAGGUGUUUGUUUCAUGAGGGUGCACUGCAUGCAGAGGCCCACAGUGAUGUUGGGAAUCAUCCUUGUUCACUCUUCCUUUUUAUUCAGUGAGGUAAGGUCUCUCACUCAAGCCCAGAGCUUCUUCUAGGGAUCUUGUGUCUCUGCCUUCUGAAGCUAGAAUUACAGGGAGGAACCACCAGGCCGCCUGGCAGCUAUCUAAAUUCUGGGAGUCCAAACUCUAACUCUCCAGUCCUCACACUUUUGAGGCUUGACCACUGGGCUAUCUGCCCAGCCCCUAAUCCUAGGGAUUUGAACUCAGGACCUCAUGCUUGAUUAGCAAGCUCUUACCUGCUGAGCCAUCUACCAACCCAAUUUCGGGCACUUUCUAAAGUGUGGUGUCCUUCUCCUGGCCUCCAGUGUCAAGUCCACAAUGGGCAGAGCCACUCCGCCCUGGGGAUCUACUCAAAGCUGAGGGCUGGGUGGCUGGUCAAGAGAGGCAUUGACUCAGGAUCAGCUGUCCCUGAGAAGGCACUUCCCUACAUCCAUCCCCUCCAUUCACAAGCUGAGCUGGCCUCCCAGCCUACUACUCUCUGGGGGAACAGAACAAAGAGGCAAAUCCUCGGCUCAGAGUUGCAAAAAGGUCUUUGAAAUCCAGAGCCCAGACUACAGAGUCUUACAACAGCCAGGGUUGGAAAGAGAAAAAGAAUUUUUGUAGGUCCAAAAGCCUGCCUUUGAACUUGAAAAGCAGACAGCCGAUGCCCAUAAGCCCUGGAGAAGGACAGCAUGCAGUAUCAGGGAAGCCAAGAUUCUACCCAAAAGAAUAUCCAGGGUAGACCUGCAGACGAGAGAGAAGGAAAUCAGUUGAGGCCUUACAGAUGCCAGGGAAAGAGGUCAAGGGAAAUCAUGAGAGAAGAAGCCCCAGAUCUAUGGGGCGUGGGGGGUUCACCAGCACUCAUGGGACCAGUUUUUGUGGCCUGAGAAUGUGACCUGAUUCUACCUAUCACAGAAGCCUUGGAGCAGAGGCGGAGGUAAGCCAUCUCUCCUCUGAAUCUUUCUCACCAGGGCUAAGCAGAAGUUUCUGAAGCUCUAAGACCGGUAUGGGUGUGCCAGGGCAUGGAGGGCAGGCUGAGCAGUAGAGGUCAUAAGGCAGCUGCAGGGAUGGUUCUGUGACCCUAGAAACCAUGGGUCAGGUCAUGGAGGCAGUUGGAGGAGGAACAGAGACAAAACACUCAGCCAGAUGCUGUGGCACUCACCUGCCACCCAUCAUUUGAGAGGUGGAGGCAGAAGGAUCAGGAGUUAAGCCCAGCCUCCAUUACAUAACAAGUUGGAGGAUAACCUGACAUACAUGAAACCCUGUCUCAAGAAGCCCACACUGUGCCAAGGAAAUGACUCAACAUGUUUGAAAAAAAACCCGACUCUACAAUAUUGUCCUCUGACCCCCAUAUGCUGUGAUACACACAACACACACAUACACACACAUAUACACACAUACACACCCACACACAUACACAUACACACAACACACAUAUAUACACACACGUACACACACAUACACACCCACACACAUACAUACACACACAUACACACCCACACACAUACACACAACACACAUACACAUAUACAUACACACACAUACACACCCACACACAUACACAUACACACCCACACAUACACAUACCCACACACAUACAUACCCACACACAUGCACACAUACAACACACACACAUAUACACACACAUGUGCACAAAUACACACAACACACACAUACACAUAUAUGCACACAUACACACAACACACACAUACACAUAUACGCACACACACAACACACACAUACACAUAUACACACACAUACACACAACACACACAUACACACACAUGCACACACAUACACACCCACACACAUACAGACAUAUGCACACAUAUACACACAACACACACAUACACACACCAUUCAGAUACAUACAACAUACUAAUAAUUUUUGUAAAGAUUUAUUUUUAUUUUAUAUCAGUGUUUUGCCUGGAUGUAUAUAUGCUAUAAUCACUAUCAGUUUGCCUGGUACUCGAGGAGGCCAGAGAUCAGCUAUCAGAUCCCCUAGACCUGGAGUUACAGAUGGUUCUGAGCUGCCUUGUGGGUGCUGGGAACUCAGUCUGGGUCAUCUGCAAUUCAGCUCCAAUAAUAACUUUUGUUUUAUUUAUUUAUUUUUGUUCUCUGAGACAGAAUCUCACUAUGUAGCCCAGACUGGCCUGAAACUUGCUAUGUAGACAAGACUGGUCUCGAAAUCAUACACAUCUACCUACCUGUGCUUCCCAAGUGCUGAGAUUAAAGGCAUGCACCACCAUGCCCUUUUUGUAAAAGGUUUUAAAAAGCCAAAACACAAACAUGUGAAAAGGUAUGUCUCUCCCACUCACAGGCUGUGUGGAAGGCAGUCUAUUCCCUAAAGAGAAGGAAAUGCCAAGAAGACAGAAAUCCUGCCCUUACUGGAUUUUAGACCUUAAGAAUAGAUUCAUUCACUAGAAAUCGACUGGAAAUAACCACACUGAUGUCUUUGCUAAGUCUAACCACUGACAGACCAAGUCUCCUCCCCCUCCCUUCCCCUCCCCUCCCUUCCCCUCCCCCCUGCCCCUCUUCCUCUCCUUCUCCCUCUUCCUUUGCCUCUUCCUCUCCCUCCUUUGUCUCACACACACACACACACACACACACACACACACAUACACAAUGGGGGGCGGGGGGUCAUGUAAUAUAGCCCGGGCUGGCUUUGAAUUCAUUAUGUGGCAUGGCCUUGAUCUUCUGAUACUCCUGUGGCCAUCCCGCAAGUGCUGGGAUUGCAGGCACGUGCACCAAGGCCGACUUAGUAGUGCUAGCGAUCAAACCCAUGACUUUCUGCACGUUAGGCAAGCGCUUUAUCAACUGAGCUGUAUCCUCACUUACACAGUGAGACUCUGAACUGCAGAUGCCCACACUGGGUUCUCAGCACCCACAAGGCAGCCCGGGACCAUCUGUAACUCCAGUUUCAGGGAGCUACAUGCCCUCUCUGGCCUCCUCAAGUACCAGGUAAGCUCGUGGUGUGGUGAUUCAUUCCUUUUUCUUCUGAUGUUGGAGGCUAAACAGUGCCUGAUGCAUGAACAUGUUCUACUGAGCUAUAUUCUCUGGUCCCCAAGAUACAUUUUUGUUUGCUUUGUUUGGUUCUGAAACAAGAUCUCUUGUAGCCCAGGCUAGCCUUGAACUCCUAAUUCUCCUCACUCUUUUCAAAUGCUGGGAUUACAGGUAUGUACCACCAUGCCAGGUUCAAUUAAACAACAAAUAGAGUCUUACUAUGCUAUCUGUAGAUAUACACCAUUAAGUUCAGCUAAGGACACAGCUUUCAGCCUCUGAGGCCCCUUUGAAGUUGCACCCACCUGCCUGUCUGUGCAGGAGCCUAGAGUCAGGUGAGACACUCUGUGCAUAUCUUUCUGUGUCUCCCAGAGAUCCCUCCAGUCGCAAACCAGCAGCUGGGUGUUGUUCCAGGCCCAUAGAAGGCAUCACAAAUGUCCAUCCUUUUGCUAGUGAUGGCGUCCCAUAUGUAAAUGGUACUUGAAUUCUUCAGGGCCUCGCUGCUCUGAAGUCUCUUCUGAUAUUGGAGAAUCCCACUGGCCUUGCAAACACUUCACCCCCAUGCAGACUCUAGAAGUUGAAACCACUUGCAGCUCAGUUUCCCGGUGUACUGACUAGUUUAUGCAAAGUUGGCACAAGCUACAGUCACUUUUAAGAGAGGUAACCUCCAGUGAGAAAAUGCCCUCACCAGAAUGGCCUGUGAGGAAGCCCGCAGUGCAUUUUCUUGGUUGACGAUGUAGAAGAACCCAGCUCACUGUGAGUGCUGGUUGUCAUAAGAAAGCAGGUUUAGCAGGCCAUGAGGAACAAGCCAGUAAGGAGCACUUCUCCAUGGCCACUGCUUCAAUUUCUGCCUCCUCCAGUUCCUUCCCUGACUUCCCUGCUAAGCCGGGAUUGUGUGAGAGUCCAAAGCCUCUCAAAUGUUUUAGUUAUGUUUAUUUGUUUUGUUAUGGGAAGGAAGGGGUUUGCAUAUCCAGAGUACCCUGCAUUUGAAGUGUCAUGGCUGUCUGUAAUCCCAGGACUUGAUAGAUAGAAGCCAAAAGAUUGUCCUAGGUUUGACACAUCCUGGGCUACAGAUUGGACUCUGUCCCCUCAGAAAUAAUAAAAUAGGGUAUUCAAGCCUGCAGAAUGGUUCAGAGAGUAUAUGUACUUGCAGCCAAGCCUGAUGGCCUAUAUUGGAUCCAAAUAGUAGAAGGGAGGAGAAUCAACUCCUUCAAGAUGUCCUCUGACCUAGGAGAGCGAUGGCAUAUUCAUACUCACCUCCUCCUACCCCCUCAAAAGCAAAUGAACAAAGUAUAAUUUUAAAAUAAAAAAAUAAACUGUCAUCAAAUCA